UACGUAGGGAGCAAGCGUUGUCCGGAAUCAUUGGGCGUAAAGCGCGCGUAGGCGGCCUCAUAAGUCCGUUGUGAAAGUCAAAGGCUCAACCUUUGAAAGCCGAUGGAUACUGUGAGGCUAGAGUUCGGAAGAGGCGAGUGGAAUUCCUGGUGUAGCGGUGGAAUGCGCAGAUAUCAGGAGGAACACCCAUAGCGAAGGCAGCUCGCUGGGACGAUACUGACGCUAAGGCGCGAAAGCGUGGGGAGCGAACAGG
rnacentral:rRNA from 1 species